rnacentral:rRNA from 1 species
AGAGUUUGAUCAUGGCUCAGGAUGAACGCUGGCGGCGUGCCUAAUACAUGCAAGUCGAACGCGAGCACUUGUGCUCGAGUGGCGAACGGGUGAGUAAUACAUAAGUAACCUGCCCUAGACAGGGGGAUAACUAUUGGAAACGAUAGCUAAGACCGCAUAGGUACGGACACUGCAUGGUGACCGUAUUAAAAGUGCCUCAAAGCACUGGUAGAGGAUGGACUUAUGGCGCAUUAGCUGGUUGGCGGGGUAACGGCCCACCAAGGCGACGAUGCGUAGCCGACCUGAGAGGGUGACCGGCCACACUGGGACUGAGACACGGCCCAGACUCCUACGGGAGGCAGCAGUAGGGAAUUUUCGGCAAUGGGGGAAACCCUGACCGAGCAACGCCGCGUGAAGGAAGAAGGUUUUCGGAUUGUAAACUUCUGUUAUAAAGGAAGAACGGCGGCUACAGGAAAUGGUAGCCGAGUGACGG